AUUCUGGGUAAUCUCACAUGUGCUUCCUUUUUAACUUGCUUUCUGAACACACGAGUUGGUACAACUUAUUAUACACUCAAUUGCAUUAAAAUGUGCAUACAUUUUGUACUAAAUAAAUAUUGGGAACACACUUAACGCUUUGUUAUAUGAUUGAAGCAUUAUAAAAAGUGAAAAAAUGAAAAGUACUAUCUGUCUUGCCAACUGGAAAUGUGGGGAAAUCGGAAAUCUCGAAUUCAAAAAUAUUACGUCUUCUUAAUUAAUCCCCUAUUUACUAAUAAUCAUCCUGAAAGCACAUUUAAAAUAUUUUAUCAUAGGGUAAUCUAAUUAUCUAUGUCAAAUUUACAGGUUGGACAUGCAAAUGAUGUUCAUAGCAAAACUGUUGUAUAUAAAUUUGUGAAUUUACAAUGUAGGAGUCUUUACUCUAGGCGAAAAAGGCAAUUCAAGUGCUUGUCCCAAGUCAUGAUCAGGAGCCCGUAAUUCAGUGGUUGUCGUUUGUUUAUAUGUUACACAUUUGUUUUUCAUUCAUUUUUUGUAUAUUAAUUUUUAUUAGGCUGCUAGUUUUCUCAUUUGAAUUGUUUUACAUUGUUAUUGGGGCCUAAGUCUGACCGGGGGUGGGGUUUGCCGAUUUUUUUUUAAAGCAUGACACGUGAAAGUCAAAUUAUUGUGCUGUGAAAAAGGGAAAUUAGAAAAAAAUAAGAAUUGCUAAUGUACAUAGUGUAAGCGGGAUACAGAAUCAGAACCCACCAAUGAGACCCCCUUUUAUUUCAGGGCCUUUACAGCUGACUGUGGUAUUCUGUAUAUGCUUUGCUUGUAUAAUCCCUUUUCUCUAGAGAUAAAAUUUGUGGAAUAUCCCUUUAUCUUCCUAAUGAUGUGUUUUGAAAAAUCAUGUUCAUUGUAACCAACAUAAACAGGAACAGUUAUCAGUAAUUGAAUUUUGAGGUUUGCAGUCAUGACGAGACCCCAUGGCAAUUAUCUGGUUCACAUACUUGUACCACAGAACUUGGUUUAGCUGUCAUACAGUUCUAUUUAAAAAAAAACUAAUGAAAUAUUUUGAUUGUAGGUGACUACCUUAGUUAACAAGAUGCAGAACGAGCAAGGAGAAUUCGUGGAUAUGUACAUCCCAAGAAAAUGGUAAGGCCAUUAAGGUUCAUCAUAACAAACGGACAAAAAUGUAUUUACAUGCCAAAAACUGCUCUAAGUACAGACUAAGCUGUGAUGUUGGAAAAUUUUUAAUGCAGACUAUGCGAAUGAAUUUUAUUUUUACAGGACAUUCGGUCUGGUAAGCAUCCUAGCUUUACCAGACCGAAUGAAAUUUUACCAGACCAAUUUUUUUUUUACAUCUAAUUGUAUAUUAUCCGACAAAAAACAACAAACAUAUGACUUUGUUGUGCCCUACUCCUCCCCGAAAUGCAAAAAUUAAAACAAAAUGAUGUAACAAGAGGGGAUAUUGUUAUGAAAGUUGUGCACAAUUGCUUGAAUGCAUUUCAGUGAAGAGUAAUGUCCCAUUUUAUUGGAUUUUGACAAUGUUUGUGAACUAAACAUAAUUUACUAGAGUUUCUGUAUAAAAUGUUAUUUCCUGUUUCUUCUUUCUUUUUCAUAUAUCUUUUGGUUUUCAAUUCUUGUGGUUAUAUUUCAUAGCUAAAUUUUGUGAUCUGCUUGGAUGUUUAUUCAUUUAUUGUAUUUAAAUCGGCAAACCCUGAAUUAUCCUUAUCCGUUCCCAGAAUCUGAUCCGGUUUUAUUUACAUUUCCGGUUGUGCCAAUUAUGGCAUCCAUUGUUGUUUUUGACAGUCAGAUAUGUUUUUACCCGGAUUUACACAUUACUGGUUGUCGAUGUUCGGCAUAAAGCUAGCGGUUGAACAAAAUAAACAUCGCUGUGGUGAAUAAUAAAGAUGAAAAUGAAUUUGAGAUCGUUUGGCAAUUUUGCUAGAAUGUUCCAUGAAAAAAAAACACCGGACAUUCGGACCGGAAUUCAACAAAAUUUUACCAGACCGAUCCAUUAUUCACCGGAUUUGUCCGACGGUCCGACGUAUUUCGCAUAGUCUGUUAAUGCCUAGCAUCCACUAGAUAUAUAAAAGAUAAAUGCAUUUUGUGUUUCAGAAAGAUAAAAUCUCUUGGAUUUUGAUGGGCAUUUUUUUUCCUUCAUGCAUAAGGUGUGAAAGUUAACUAAGUUGUGGUACAACUUUGAGAUGCUCCCUCAGGUAAAAAAACGGUUUGUAUUGUUUUGAUUUGCUCUAAUUGACAUGGACAAGAGGUAUCUUCACAGCUAUAGGUGAGUUAAAGAGUUUAUCUGAGUCAGUGAGUGGACACUGGACAGUAUCAAAGUAAUUCAGGUGUUUGUUUAUUUUUACACCUUCUGCAGAAAGAGAAAAAAAUGCCCAUCAAAAACCAAGAAAGAUUCUUUCUUUCUUAAACACAAAAUGCAUUUAACUUUUAUAUAUCUAGUGGAUGCUAGGCCUUAAAACUUUCCAAACAGCACAGGUAAGUAAGUACACAGAGUAGUUUUUGAGGUGAAAAUACGGCCAUAUUUGUCCAUUUGUUAUAAUGAACCUUAAAAAAAGAAAAUAAAUUUAGACAAAGUAUUUUCAGUACUAUGUUUAUUGCUGUCAGAGUUAAAUGUCACUUUCUACGAUCUAUAAUAACAACUCAGACUAAGUAUAAAAUAAGACUUUUGACAAAAUAAAUUAUUUAAGGGGGGAAAUAUAUGUCUUAUGAAAGUUUUGAAGCCGAUUUAUAUAAAUAACGAUAACUAAUACUGUCUAUGAAGAGACAUCUAUAUAGACAAUUGAGUGUUGUUCUCAAAAGACAAUCCAUUUUUUAAAUUUUUUUAUUUAAUUCUUUUUUGCAAAGUCCGUAACAUGCUGAAAUGAUGUUGCAAUCUAAAAUAUAUCAUUUAAUACUUUAUAAUAAAUCUUAUACAUGUAGUUCAAAUCCUCUUUUAACACUUUGAGUCAUCCUUAUAGACCAUCCAAGUUGUCUUCUUAGACAGACCAAGUUGUCUUCUUAGACAGACCAAGUUGUCUUCUUAGACAGACCAAGUUGUCUUCUUAACAGACCAAGUUGUCUUCUUAGACAGACCAAGUUGUCUUCUUAGACAGACCAAGUUGUCUUCUUAGACAGACCAAGUUGUCUUCUUAGACAGACCAAGUUGUCUUCUAGACAGGCCAUGUUGUCUUCUUAGACAGGCCAAGUUGUCUUCUUAGACAGGCCAAGUUGUCUUCUUAGACAGGCCAUGUUGUCUUCUUAGACAGGCCAAGUUGUCUUCUUAGACAGGCCAAGUUGUCGUCUUAGACGGGCCAAGUUGUCUUCUUAGACAGGCCAAGUUGUCGUCUUAGACGGGCCAAGUUGUCUUCUUAGACGGGCCAAGUUGUCUUCUUAGACAGGCCAAGUUGUCGUCUUAGACGGGCCAAGUUGUCGUCUUAGACGGGCCAAGUUGUCGUCUUAGACGGGCCAAGUUGUCGUCUUAGACGGGCCAAGUUGUCGUCUUAGACGGGCCAAGUUGUCUUCUUAGACGGGCCAAGUUGUCUUCUUAGACAGGCCAAGUUGUCGUCUUAGACAGGCCAAGUUGUCGUCUUAGACAGGCCAAGUUGUCUUGCAUUCCUUUCUACAGGUUAAGGAUGGGGGCAUCCCAAAGGAUUUAUUGAUUAAAAUGUUGCUUUUAGAAAUACAAUGUACAUGUAGAUUUUGACAGAAAUCAUUCGACCUACAAUGUAAUGGUCGAGGAACCACCAUUAUAUCCAAUCAAAUAAUUAUUUGUUUUAGUUUACCUUCGUUUUCUAACAAAAGAUACAUGUAGUUUUAUCUGAACAUUGAGAUAUACAUGUAAGAUAUGUUGAAUUAAAAAAAAUCAUGUUUUUCAACAAUUUGGUUGUGGGUGAGGAAAAACAAUGUUGGUUUUUUUUGGGAAUGAUAUUUUUUCACCCAAUUAUGUACAAUUUUACUUUUUACAGUUCUGCCAGCAACAGAAUUAUUUCUGCCAAGGAUCAUGCCUCAAUCCAGAUCAACUUUGCUGAUGUAAGUAAUAGGAGGGGAGACAACCAAAAUGGUCUAUAGAAUAACAUGUGUUAAUAGAUAUAUGAAGAUGUGGUAUGAAUGCUAAUGAGACAACUCUCCAUCCAAGUCACAAGUUGUGAAAGUAAACCCAUUAUAAGGCAAGAUACAUUUCUAAAAUGCUCAAACCGGAAAACCCAACUUUCUGAUCUAUAUAAAAUAAAAAUAAGAAACACUUAUAAACCACAUCAAUAAACUGCCUACUUUUGUCAACAGACUUUCUUAACCCUUUCAACGCUAUACACGGCAUAUGCCGCGAUGACAUACGCCGUCCGCCACUGCUAUUCGCGGCAUAUGCCGCGAUGACAACGGAUUUUUCAUAAGGACUCUUAAACCAUUCGGUUUUCAUUCGGAUCCUCUCUAAUUUUUCCUUGUAUGAAUCGAGGAUAUGCAAGGUCUCAUUUGCGCUUGAAAUCCCGGGAAUUUUUAUUGUAAAAUCAUGCAGUAGAAGGAAAAUUGAAGGAAAAUAAAAACAAAUAUUUUGACAAAUGCAAAUGGCGGAAAUCGGGAAACGAAGCUAUAAAUAUGGAAAUAUUUCAGCAUUUCUAUGGCGAAACUGAUGACAAGGAUUAGUUAAAAGGUUUCAUGUUAUCUCAAUGUGUUUAUAACAUUCAAUUCGUGUUGGAAAUAUGAUUUGAUCAAUCAUUACGAGACGUAGAAAAAGGGGGGAAAACGGAGGUUGACUGAAAUUUUUGAAGACGGAGCCACUGAUUUGUGCCAUGAUUACAUAAUACGUUGUGUAUGGUGCAAUACGCUACGGAAUCGAGCAAUUGGUGUCUUCUUUAUUAUAUGGCAGAUAAAAAAACAAAAUAGAUGAAGACGAAAAGUAGUUUUUAUUCAAAAUUAAAUUCAACACAAAUGUAACAAAUUAACCUUUUUACCUGUUAAUUACCUGAAAAUGCAGGUAACCUAAUAAAAAAUUUACUGAAAUAACUGCCUAGCAUUACAGUUCAUACUCUCCUGAGCAUUUUUCAUGCAAUAACUUUUUCUGUAUCUCUUAUAAUAAAAAAGAUAUAGCAGUCUGAAAAGGAAUAUACUGUUCUAAUGAAUGAACACAAAAAAAAUGCAGCAGCAGCAGCCAUUUUUCUAUUUUUUGUGUAGCGUUGAAAGGGUUAAGAAAUGUCCAGAAAAAAAUUGACUAGUCAUUUAUAUAAGAUUUAUUAAAUGAUAUAUAAUAAUGUAAACCAGCUACAAUAUUAUUAAUUUAUAUUAUAUAAGAAGAUGUGAGAGACAACAUUAGCAUUGUCAAUUUGAACAAAGUUGUGAUCUAUAUACAAGCAUUAUGUUAAUCAUAAAGUACCAACUUUAUAGGCUUUGAUAGACAGGAAAUCUUAACAGAACACGAAAAUUAAACCAUCAAAAUUAUUGUAGAAAUUAAUCUAUUUACAGGUUGACACUACCACAGGAAGAAUGACAGGAAGUUAUACAACUUUCGCCAUCUGUGGGGGAAUCAGGAGAAUGGUAAGUUAUCAGGGGAGGUAACCAAUAGUUAUACACCCUUUGCCAUCUAUGGGGGAAUCAGGAGAAUGGUAAGUUAACAGGGCAGGUAACCAAUAGUUAUACAACUUUCGCCAUCUGUGGGGGAAUCAGGAGAAUGGUUAGUUAUCAGGGGAGGUAACCAGCAGUUUACCACUUUUUUUCAUCCCAGGAAGGGGCUCAGAGGCAGAUUGGUCUAAGAAGUCAAACUGUUACACCCCAUCUAAAUUGAGGUUGUUAGUUCAUAUCUCCCACAUGACAAGCCCCUUUACUCCAAUCUUAAUUGAUUAGUUUUCUUAUUUGACCCAUGCAUUCCUGCUUCCUCUGCCAAUAAAAAGUCAACAUGAAUAACACAUUAGUGCUGAAAAUAGCAUUAAACACCAAUUAAUCUGAUUUAUGAGGAAAUCAGAAAUAUGGUAUUUUAUCAAGGGAGGCAACCUUAUAUAAUUUCAGUUUUCAUACCUAGACACGCCCUCAUGACCAGGCUUGUAAUGUUAAAAUUGUGUUUUGUAAGAUUUUUAACUACACACUGGUAGAAACUAUACAAUUUUUAUCAUAAUAUGUGCAUUAGCUUUAUUGCUACAUGUAUUUUUUGUGAAGACUACUUAUCGUUUUGAUGACUCAUCCAGGGUUGGGUUAUCAGGACAGGCAACCGAGUUAAACCACUUGUUCCAUCUGUGGGGGAAUUCAGGGGGUGGUAAAAUAUCAAUGGAGACAACUAAUUUGUCAAUAUUGCUAUGUUUAUAUCUAAAAUUGAUAUCUCAAAAUACUAACUAAUUUAUUAAGAGUUGAUCUGGGGGAAUUUUGAUUGCAUGUUAGUUUGUAAAUUAAAUAGUCAUGUUUGAAUUGAAGGGGGAAAUGCUCUCAAGUUAUCCUAAAUUUGAAUAUAAAAAAAAUGCACCAUUUACUUUGCAUUUAAAUAAUUCUGUAAUGUAUACAAUGUGAAACCAUUUUAAUAAUUGACAUUGUGUAUUGUAGGGAGAAUCUGACGAUUCAUUGAACAGAUUGGGCAAACGUGAUGGCCUUAUAGCCAAGUAAGUAUUACACUAUAGAACAAAUGUCAGGAAGUAAGAUAAGUUAUAAAGGAUAUUGGAUCCUGGGACCUAAGGUAGUCUCAACACACCCCUUCAUGACCAAAAUAUGUUUAAAUGACUGAUUUUAACAACCUGGCUCCCUUGAGGUGCUUAAAAUACAUAUAGAUAGUCAAGUGGUGAGUGUUUAUAUAUACAUUGCCCUGAUUUAAAAAAAUAAGUUAUGAAGUACAAAGUGUUUUUGUUUGUCAUAUAAUAUGUAAAAUUAAUUAAUUUAAAAAAGAUAAAGAAUAAAACAAUAAAACAAACUUAUUGAAUUCAAAUAUGAUGAAACUGAGAAUGAAUAUGGGUAAUGUGGCAAAGAGACAAUAACCAGACCAGACAUCAGAGAACAGGUGACAUGGCCAACCAAGAUAUAUUAUAUAGUAUACUAGGUAUAUAGUUAUUCUAUGAUUAUGGAUUUUGUACUAUAAUCCAAUGGAAUUCUGUUAUCAUAUAUUGUUGGUUUUUUGUUCUAACCGUAUGUUUUCUUUCUUUGUAGGAAUUUCUAAACCAGUACGAGAGGAAGAAAAUCAAUGAAACAUUAAAAAGACAUUGAUUAUCACAUUUUUUGUUUGUUUCUAUAGCUAUUGGUGCCAAUUCUUUGUGAAACUAACCCAAAUACCAGUAAAUGUUAUUGCCCUCAGUUGGUGUACUAACCCAAAUACCAGUAAAUGUUAUUGCCCUCAGUUGGUGUACUAACCCAAAUACCAGUAAAUGUUGUUGCCCUCAGUUGGUGUACUAACCAAAUACCAGUAAAAUGUUAUUGCCCUCAGUUGGUGUACUAACCCAAAUACCAGUGAAUGUUGUUGCCCUCAGUUGGUGUACAUUUAUAAAAUACCAGUAAAUGUUGUUGCCCUCAGUUGGUGUACUAACCCAAAUACCAGUGAAUUGUUGCCCUCAGUUUGGUGUACUAACCCAAAUACCAGUGAAUGUUGUUGCCCUCAGUUGGUGUACUAACCCAAAUACCAGUAAAUGUUGUUGCCCUCAGUUGGUGUACUAACCAAAUACCAGUAAUGUUGUUGCCCUCAGUUGGUGUACUAACCCAAAUACCAGUAAAUGUUGUUGCCCUCAGUUGGUGUACUAACCCAAAUACCAGUAAAUGUUGUUGCCCUCAGUUGGUGUACUAACCCAAAUACCAGUAAAUGUUGUUGCCCUCAGUUGGUGUACUGUUAUCUAUUGAUUAAUUUAAUCACAUGUUUCAAGACAUACUUGAAAUCUUUAAACAAAUUUGACUUGAAUAAUUCUAGUGUAGGGUCUGCCAUGAAUCCUUUUAAGAUUAAGAUUUUCCAUAAAAAAGGACUAGAGUAAAACACCUGUUUAUCUCAUCUGGCCUUAUG
rnacentral:lncRNA from 1 species